GUGAAUCAUCAAAUCUUUGAACGCAAAUUGCACUCUCCGCGGAUAGUAUGCCUAUUUGAGGGUCAGCCUAUAAAAAUUGACAUCGGUUCUGUUUGGCGGUGGCGGUCGUGGGUAAUUGGGUCAUCUUAAAUCCUUUUGUUUUAAUCGACUUAAAAUUUUCUUUUUGUUCUAUGUACGUUUCUAAGA
rnacentral:misc_RNA from 1 species